CACAUGUCAAGGAGAUCAUGCAGAGACUUUUUUGCUAGUAACCUCAGAGCUUUCGGGAUGCCGUUUGUGAGAUUGUUAUUGAGAUUCUCUAGGAUCCAUAUCUACGCAAUCAAUUGAGCUCAUUGUCAUAGCCAUCAUAGUAAGUCAAGUAGUAUUAAUAAUUUUUUUACUUAUUUUAAACUUUUAUAUUUAGAAGCUUCACAUAGUUAGGCUU
rnacentral:lncRNA from 1 species